CAAGUGAUCCUCCCACAUCACCCCCUCGAAGCACUGGGAUUAUAGACAUGAGCCACCACAGCCAAACUGAUGGGUGCUCCUACUGGUCAGGCCCAUGAUGUGGCUGGGGACCGUGAAUCAUCACCACAACCCUAGGAUGAAGGUGCUAUCAUUCCUCUAGGUGUACUCCAGCCCCCUGCGCUUGGCCACCAGCAGCAUCCGAGAGAACAGGAAGAGCAGCCGCUCACCCCCUCGCAGCCGGGGGCCACCCCCUCCACCUCCUCGGAAUGAGCCCUCCAGCACCAGCUCCCCAAAAGCACUCAGCUCCGGGCCAGUCCAGCCACCCAGUCGCCGCUGCACUUCCUGCCAGGACCCCGCCAGGUGCGCCAGGCACAGAGACGAGCAUAGCAAGGGCCGCGAGGCGUGAGAAUCCGGAACUGACGAAGGACUGUGUCCUAUUGGUAAAUCAAAAGUUUUAAAUCUGCAUAUGCAAUACAAGGCGGGGCCGUCCGGUGAGGUCACGUGGCCAUGAAUGACUGAAGGACUCCCCGGCGAAAGGGUGCGGCCAGAGCUCCAGUGGCGCAAUCGGUUAGCGCGCGGUACUUAUAUGACAGUGCGAGCGGAGCAAUGCCGAGGUUGUGAGUUCGAUCCUCACCUGGAGCACUCUUUUUCUUUUGCCUCUCCCAGCACUUUUAAUUUUUUUCUCAUCAGUUCUUAUAAACUUAUACAUCUUAUAAACCAACCAAAACGUCUACAUCACUUAGAUGAAUGAACAUUUCCAUCUUUUGAAUUAUUGGGCCCAAAAGACUUCUAGGGUUUUGGUGACAGUCCCUUGUUUGCUCUGUAUUGUAGGAAGGUGCGGUUUCCAUCCUAGCCACCAGGUGGGGGUAUCGUCUCUUAUUAGAUGCUUUGGGCAUGGAAUUUAGUCUGCAAAUAGUUUGACUUCUGUAGAGAUAUGGGUCCUGGGUAAGCUGUAUAUGGCUCUCCUCUGCAUA